UACGGAGGAUGCGAGCGUUAUCCGGAUUUAUUGGGUUUAAAGGGUGCGUAGGCGGGCCUUCAGGCCGGCGGUAAAAUUGCGGGGCUCAACCCCGCCGAGCCGUCGGAACCGGGGGCCUUGAGUACCGGAGAAGUACGCGGAAUGCGUGGUGUAGCGGUGAAAUGCAUAGAUAUCACGCAGAACCCCGAUUGCGAAGGCAGCGUACCGGCCGGUCACUGACGCUGAGGCACGAAAGCGCGGGUAUCGAA
rnacentral:rRNA from 1 species